rnacentral:rRNA from 1 species
AGGACGAACGCUGGCGGCGUGCCUAACACAUGCAAGUCGAACGGAGCCCGCAAGGGUUCAGUGGCGAACGGGUGCGUAACACGUGAGGAACUUGUCCAUCGGCGGGGGAUAGCCGGCCCAACGGCCGGGUAAUACCGCGUACGCCGUCCGGAGCGCAUGCUCUGGCCGGGAAAGCAGCAAUGCACCGAUGGAGAGCCUCGCGGCCUAUCAGCUAGUUGGUGGGGUAAUGGCCUACCAAGGCGACGACGGGUAGCUGGUCUGAGAGGAUGACCAGCCACAUUGGGACUGAGACACGGCCCAGACUCCUACGGGAGGCAGCAGUGGGGAAUAUUGCGCAAUGGGCGAAAGCCUGACGCAGCGACGCCGCGUGUGGGAUGACGGCUUCGGGUUGUAAACACUGUCGCGAGGGACGAAGAUCUGACGGUACCUCGAAAGGAAGCACCGGCUAACUCUGUGCCAGCAGCCGC